UGGACGGACAUGUCCCGACAUGUCACACUCUUUCACGCGAAAUUGCAUCCCGGCGCGUGCGAAAGAAAAAUAAAACAAAAGCGCCUCAGCCUGGUGUCGUGUCCCAACCAGUUCUCCUGGUCCUACAGAGGGCACUGGGCUGUUUGGGCCUUGCUCAGGAGCGCAGGAGUGGCGGCUUGGUGGGAGUCGAACUCACGGACCUCUGAUGAGUCUCCAAUUUAUUUCUAUUUUACAUCUGGUCAGUCGUCAGUCGUCCAUGUUGGAUUUUCACACACUUAAAGCUACUGAGAUGCUUCUAAUAAAAAAAGUAUAAGAAUUAAAAAGUGGA